AGAGUUUGAUCCUGGCUCAGGAUGAACGCUGGCGGCAUGCCUAAUACAUGCAAGUCGAACGGACCGAAGGGAAAGCUUGCUUUCCCUGAAGUCAGUGGCGAACGGGUGAGUAACACGUAGGUAACCUGCCCAUGUGCCCGGGACAACGCCUGGAAACGGGUGCUAAAACCGGAUAGGUAGAGAGAUCGCAUGAACUUUCUAUUAAAGGGGCUACGGCCCUGAACAUGGAUGGACUGCGGUGCAUUAGCUAGUUGGUGAGGUAACGGCCCACCAAGGCGACGAUGCAUAGCCGACCUGAGAGGCCGAACGGCCACAUUGGGACUGAGACACGGCCCAAACUCCUACGGGAGGCAGCAGUAGGGAAUUUUCGUCAAUGGGGGGAACCCUGAACGAGCAAUGCCGCGUGAGUGAAGACGGUCUUCGGAUUGUAAAGCUCUGUUGCGAGAGAAAAACGACACGGAUAGGGAAUGAUCCGUGGUGAUGGUAUCUCCGCCAGAAAGUGACGGCUAACUACGUGCCAGCAGCCGCGGUAAUACGUUAGGUGGCGACCGUUAUCCGGAAUGAUUGGCCGUAAAGGGUGCGUAGGCGGCCCGUUAAGUCUGGAGUCAAAGCCGGCAGCUCAACUGUCGUACGCUUUGGAAACUGGCGGGCUGGAGUGCAGAAGAGGGCGAUGGAACUCCAUGUGUAGCGGUAAAAUGCGUAGAUAUAUGGAAGAACACCAGUGGCGAAGGCGGUCGCCUGGUCUGCAACUGACGCUGAAGCACGAAAGCGUGGGGAGCAAAUAGGAUUAGAUACCCUAGUAGUCCACGCCGUAAACGAUGAGAACUAAGUGUUGGGGGAAUAACUCAGUGCUGCAGUUAACGCAAUAAGUUCUCCGCCUGGGGAGUAUGCACGCAAGUGUGAAACUCAAAGGAAUUGACGGGGGCCCGCACAAGCGGUGGAGUAUGUGGUUUAAUUCGAAGCAACGCGAAGAACCUUACCAGGCCUUGACAUCCCGGGCAAGGGCGUAGAGAUACGCCGGAGGCUAUCCCGGUGACAGGUGGUGCAUGGUUGUCGUCAGCUCGUGUCGUGAGAUGUUGGGUUAAGUCCCGCAACGAGCGCAACCCUUGUCAUAUGUUACUACCAGUAAGAUGAGGACUCAUAUCAGACUGCCGGGUGACAAACCGGAGGAAGGUGGGGAUGACGUCAAAUCAUCAUGCCCCUUAUGGCCUGGGCUACACACGUACUACAAUGGCGCAUACAAAGAGCAGCGAACCCGUGAGGCAGGCGAAUCUCGCAAAGUGCGUCUCAGUUCGGAUUGAAGUCUGCAACCCGACUUCAUGAAGUUGGAAUCGCUAGUAAUCGCGAAUCAGCAUGUCGCGGUGAAUACGUUCUCGGGCCUUGUACACACCGCCCGUCAAACCAUGGGAGUUGGUAAUACCCGAAGCCGGUGGCAUAACCCUUUCAGGGAGUGAGCCGUCGGAAGGUAGGAUCGAUGACUCGCGUUAAGUCGUGAACAAGGUAACC
rnacentral:rRNA from 1 species